UCCGUAGGUGGAUAAUUAAGUCAGAGGUGAAAUCCUGCAGCUCAACUGUAGAAUUGCCUUUGAUACUGGUUAUCUUGAGUCAUUAUGGAGUGGUUAGAAUGUGUAGUGUAGCGGUGAAAUGCAUAGAUAUUACACAGAAUACCGAUUGCGAAGGCAGAUCACUAAUAAUGUACUGACACUGAGGGACGAAAGCGUGGGGAGCGAACAGGAUUAGAUACCCUGGUAGUCC
rnacentral:rRNA from 1 species